UUCCCCGACACGACGCUCCUCCGAUCUGGGCCUACUCUUGCAUGAAUUUCGUGUAUUGGGCCUCUAGUAAAUUAUAAGUAUCCCAAUCUUCCAAUUCAACUAACUUCUCAAUGUCAACCAGUAAAAUUCUAACUCUUUACAAGAAUUUCUAGGAUGUCCUUCAUAACCUGUUCCUGCUUUCCUCACUGGACAGCUCUCUAGCCACACCCUCUCCAAAUAAACUUUACUGUAGAAGAAGGUUUCUGUAUCUGCAUUUAACAGAUAUGCUUCAAUGGCGCACACAACUGAGGGUGGAAACAGGCAGCAGUCUCCAGCGCACCAGCCUGCAGGCAGUCUUCUGGCGGGCUUACCCAGACAGCAGUCACUCUAUUCACAGGGCCCUGAGUGUGGGAUCCUGAGACAGGGCCUAGGCUGGCAC